rnacentral:misc_RNA from 1 species
UUUCCGUAGGUGAACCAGCGGAAGGAUCACUACAGAGUUCAUGCCCGACAAGUUAUACCUCACGCCCUGGUGUAUUAUUACUUUGUUGCUUUGGCGGGCGCAACCUCGCCAGAGUAUACCAAAACUCUUUUUAUUAAUGUCGUCUGAGUACUAUAUAAUAGUUAAAACUUUCAACAACGGAUCUCUUGGUUCUG